UACGGAGGGUGCAAGCGUUAUCCGGAUUCACUGGGUUUAAAGGGUGCGUAGGUGGAUCGGUAAGUCCGUGGUGAAAUCCCCGAGCUUAACUCGGGAACUGCCGUGGAUACUAUCGAUCUUGAAUACUGUGGAGGUAAGCGGAAUAUGUCAUGUAGCGGUGAAAUGCUUAGAUAUGGCAUAGAACACCGAUAGCGAAGGCAGCUUGCUACACAGUUAUUGACACUGAGGCACGAAAGCGUGGGGAGCAAACAGG
rnacentral:rRNA from 1 species